UUUCUGUCUGCUGUAUAAUUAAUUUUGUUGGGUGUAAACCAAUUAAGGUGGUGGGAUAUAAUUGGUUAAAUAAUUAUGUUACAAUGUGUUAGGAUUGGUUUGUUCAAUUUCAGUAAAAUGAUUGGUUAAGCUAUGGCUAAGCAGAACUCAACUUUAACUGCAGCCUA